CAGCCAGAAGUUCAGGAAGAACACAGCUC
rnacentral:piRNA from 1 species